ACAUACAGAGGAGCAGAAGUUAAAUACAAAACUUCAACACACAUCAUCUGCAGGAGAGGAAAACUUGAAUCUGUCAUGAACCUGUUUUAACAAAAUAAACUUCUGUUGUCCUGGGGUAUCACAUGUCACUCCCCCUUUUUGUCAAAAAUGUUGCCAAAGCAACACUUUAAAUUACAGAACCACAAAUAGUAAGCAGAAUUACACACAAAUGACAGAAAACACAAAAAGGACAAGUAUUUAUUCCUCAGCCUCAUCA
rnacentral:lncRNA from 1 species